rnacentral:lncRNA from 1 species
AUUCAAGAUUAUCUUGGUUUAGUUGCCUCAUUUUCAGACAGGAUUAAAUCCCCCAGAGAUGGUAAGCCACCUGACUAAGGUAGCGAAGAAAAUAAGCAGAGUAAGGAGAGCAAUGAUUUCAAAAAUAUUUUACUGCCUUUUGACACCAAAUCCUGGGAUUAUUUUCCUAUUUACCAAGGUCACAAUUUUAUUAUGCCUCAAUUUUGUUCAUUCUUAGCAGAGUGCAAAGGAAAGAAUGUAGUGUUAAGAAACCAAGAGAUGAAAACAUUUUAAGGAUGAGAAAAUGCUUAUUAAAUUUUAAGGUUUGUAAUUACCUAGUAGAUUAAAGCUAAUGUUUAAUUUUUCAAGUUCUUUGGCAUAUUGAUUUUGGGGAAUACAUACAUUUUAAAUGAUUGACUCAAAUAUCUGUGUCAUGUCUUUAAAUCAUUAAUGAGGAAGUUUUUCUUGGACAUUGGGGAAAUGACUCUUCUGACUCUGAAAGGACAUUUCCUGUUGUGGGAGGGGGUAUCCUGGGCUGGCUCUAUUUAUAGGGUAAAGGGAACUUUACUACCUAUGCCUUUGCUUUCAAAGAUUGUCAGCAUUACCUCUUGCUCCAGGCUCUAUCACCAUGAUGAAAUCAGCUGCUUUGACCAUUUUGGUCCUGGCAACAUCUUACUUCGUUUUCUCUGUUGCUGAUAAUCAAGUAAAAGUAAGUCAAGAAAAAGGGACAGAGGUUGAUUGUGGACAGUAUUUUACUUCUGCCAAAGGAAUGGGAUGUCCUAGGAAUUAUCAACCAAUCUGUGGGACUAAUCAGAAAACUUAUGGCAAUGAAUGCAUGCUCUGUGAUUUUAACAGAUCAACUAGAAUGAAUAUCAGAAAGCUGCAUGAUGGAGACUGUGAAAAGUAAGUCCUUUGACCUUAAAUAUCUAUGGAUCUUGCAAUGAGCAAAGGAAGAGUGAUUCCCAUCUGCAAGAAGCUUGAUCUCAAUCAUAAUCACUUGGUUACUUCUCACUGAGUUGAACUGUGGCCAUUGAAAUCCCUUUAUUGUUUGCUGAUUUAUUGACACAAUAAAUACUUUUCUGCAUGAACUCUAAGAGAUGUG